GCGCGAAGGUUGAGAGGGAGAGUGUGACCUAGAGAGAGGCCGAGAGAGUUGGAGAAAGGGCAUUCGAGAGAGAGAGAGGUCCAACGGAGUGCUUGCCGGAGUGCCGCCGGACAACGUUGAAGGCCUGUCGGAGCUAUUCAAGCCCUCCAGCCGGUAUCGAUUGACGGCCGCCGCAGCUCCGACGUUGGCCAACGAAGCGAAGACGGGAUCGUGUUCCGUCCGGCCCAGCGAAGUAGGGGCGCGUUCAAGGUCUCGCUUCGUCCCACCUGCUUCCGUCCCUGUGUCGGAGCGCCGCCGUAGCGUCGCCGGAGCAUCGCCGGAGUGUGGACUGUUCGGUGGACGAAAAAGAGGGGUUUUCCGAGUUGUUAGUCCCACCCACACAUUUUUCUUCCUGUGUGUUCGAACCGGCACACGUGUUCAUUGAAGGCAAUUUGCGUGUAUUGGAGAAGUACUUAACUACUAAGAGGGGGAACCAAGGAAAAGAUACAAAAGCAGGAGGCUAAGGGAGUAAGGAAGGCACCUCGCACCUGGGCGUGACAAAGGGGCGCCGGGCGCGACAUUCCAGAGAGUCUCGCGCCCGGGCGUGACAAAGGGACGCUCGCUCGCCCAGGAGAACGAACGCUCGUCCAGUAUGGACGCACUAGAGGACGCACGUCCAGCGAGAAGAGGACGCUCGCCCUGUGGACGCACGAGAGAACGCUCGCCCAGAGAGAAGUGGACGCUCGUCCAGCAAAUACGUUCAGUGGAAGACGUCCAGCGAAGACGCGCAGUGGACGCUCGUCCAGCGAAGACGCGCAGUGGACGCUCGUCCAGCGAAGACGCGCGCUGGACGCUCGUCCAGCGAAGACGCGCAGUGGACGCUCGUCCAGCGAAGACGCGCAGUGGACGCUCGUCCUGCGAAGACGCGUAGUGGACGCUCGUCCAGCGAAGACGCGCAGUGGACGCUCGUCCAGCGAGGACACCCAAUGGGCGCUCGUCCAGCGCGCUAAGAGGACGCUCGUCCAGAUUGGCGCUCAGUGGACGCUCGGCAGCGAGAAGUGGACGCUCGUCCACGCUCAGUGGAAGCUGUUUUUCCAGAGAGUUUCACGCCCGGGCGCGCGACUGAGAGGGCGCCGGCGCGACUUUUGCUGAUGUGUCAAAAUGCCUAUUUAUUCAAGUGGUCUCGAAGCAUUUGGGGAUCUUUGGCUGCCCUAACACGAUUUCUCUCAUUUGGAGCUCUUGGAGGCGAGACAGGAGCUGUGGGAACAGUCCUUCUUCAACCUUGGGUCUUCUUCCUUCUUCCAUUUCCACCAUUGUUGUAAGCUUGAGCUCUCCAUUCAUGGAGAGUUAGUUUCAUUAUUGUUGGGGGAUUGAUGUAGCCACUGAAAUCUUAUGUAAACUACUAUGUUUUGAAUGAAUUUAUGCCUCUUUCAUUGAUUGUUA